GAUGAACGCUAGCGGCAGGCCUAACACAUGCAAGUCGAGGGAGGAGCCUUCGGGCUUCGACCGGCGUACGGGUGCGUAACGCGUAUACAAUCUGCCUUUCACAUAGGGAUAGCCCGAAGAAAUUUGGAUUAAUAACUAAUGGUAUAUAGAUGUGGCAUCACCUUUAUAUUAAAGCUGAGGCGGUGAAAGAUGAGUAUGCGUUCUAUUAGCUAGUUGGAGAGGUAACGGCUCCCCAAGGCGACGAUAGAUAGGGGUUCUGAGGGGGAUAUCCCCCACACUGGUACUGAGAUACGGACCAGACUCCUACGGGAGGCAGCAGUGAGGAAUAUUGGACAAUGGUCGGAAGACUGAUCCAGCCAUGCCGCGUGCAGGAAGACGGCCUUAUGGGUUGUAAACUGCUUUUGCAGGGGAAGAAUAAGGACUACGCGUAGUUUGAUGACGGUACUCUGCGAAUAAGCAUCGGCUAACUCCGUG
rnacentral:rRNA from 1 species